rnacentral:rRNA from 1 species
AGCAGCCGCGGUAAUUCCAGCUCCAAUAGCGUAUAUUAAAGUUGUUGCAGUUAAAAAGCUCGUAGUUGAAUUUCGGGAUUGACACAUCGGUCGUGCCUUAAGGGGUAUGAACUGGUGUAGUCAAUUUCUCACCUUCUGGAGAACCGCGAUGCCCUUAAUUGGGUGUCACGGGGAACCAGGACCUUUACUUUGAAAAAAUUAGAGUGUUUAAAGCAGGCAUUUUGCUUGAAUACAUUAGCAUGGAAUAAUAAAAUAGGACGGCAUGAUUCUAUUUUGUUGGUUUCUAGGAUCACCGUAAUGAUUAAUAGGGAUAGUUGGGGGCAUUAGUAUUCAAUUGUCAGAAGUGAAAUUCUUGGAUUUAUUGAAGACUAACUACUGCGAAAGCAUUUGCCAAGGAUGUUCUCAUUAAUCAAGAACGAAAGUUAGGGGAUCGAAGACGAUCAGAUACCGUCGUAGUCUUAACCAUAAACUAUGCCGACUAGGGAUCGGAUGAUGUAAUUUUUAAUGACUCAUUCGGCGC